GUCCCGGUGGCCCAGUCGGUUAGGGCGUCCGUCUCGUAAACGGAAGGUCGGCGGUUCAAAACCGCCCCGGGACUCCA
rnacentral:tRNA from 1 species